UUUUUACUUGGCUUUGCUUUGUUUCACGUGGGCCGAAUUAGUGUCAUUGUUAAGUUAUGUCAGAUAGAGAUUUGAAUUUAAAGAAAAGUAAAGAUAAGGUAAUAAUGUGAUAGGACCCACUAGUUGAUAAUUGAAGUAAUGUUUUUGGUUUUGUGCUUUAUGCACGUGGGUUUGUUGGUUGAUUUUGUGUGAGGUCAGUGGUUGCCUUGUCUGUAUAUUAAGCGUUUGGGACUUUGUAAGAGAGCAAAGAAGAUAGGAAAAAAAAAAAAAUUAGAGAGAGGCAGUGAGAGACAAGAGUUAGACAGACAGAAAGAGUGAGCCGAGAAUGAUGGCUAGUAGAGAGAUAGAGAGUUUAAGGAAAGACAGAGAGAUCUGAUAGUCUGCAGAGGAGGUCGGAGGUUUUGAUUAUCCACGGAGGAAAAUUCCCUUUCAGGAUACAGAUGGCAAGUGGCGGACGACGCUCCUUCAUAGGGUUCGAUGAGCUAGUAGACGAUUUUGACAUACUUUGUCAAUAAUGUUAAAAUGGGCUAAAAAUGAGUUCUUAAGGCCUUUUUGGAGUCAAACUAAGUCUUAGCGAUGAUCCGGAGCAAAAAGAGGCUGAUUUGGAGCAAAAAGAAGCUGAUACUGAAAAGCUGAAAAGUUGGAUGGAUCGCAGAAAAAGUUGGAUCGAUCGAAAAUAAGUUGGAUCGAUCGAACUUUUAGUUGGAUCGAUCAGAAAAGUUGGAUCGAUUGAAAAAUAAGUUCGAUCGAUCGAAAAAGUUGGAUCUAUCGAACUGGACAUGUUGGCAGCAAGCUGUCACUUUUUCCGUGCGCGCCCAAAAGUUCACCUACCAAAAAGUUGCGGGAUUAGAUAUUUUUUGGCAUAUAUUCUAGACUUAGUGACUAAGAAAAGGACCUUAUAUAUAAAGGGAAGUGACCCAUUUGUAAAGGGGGAUUCUUUAGGCUUUUUAUCAUUUUAUUUUCUACAUUGUAAUUUUUUUAUUUCUCUCUCUAGAAAAGUUAGAGAUUAGGGUUAGAAGAAAAGAGAGAAGUGGAGGCACAUCUCAAGAUCACAUCUCUAAAUCCACUAUCUUUCCAUCUCUAGAGCUUCAAAGAAGAAGAAGAAGAAGAGGAAGAAGAAGAUGGAGCCAUGUUUGGAGCUUGAUUCCAUGACUACAUCCACCUCCUCCAUGAUUGACUAGAUCUACACUUAGGGCUUGGAUGAGCCCUAAGUCUUGUGUAAUUUAAACCCUUGUAUUUCUAUUUUUGGGGAUUUUUAUAUAUAUUGUUGUGAUUAGUGUUCUA